UGAAAAAUAGGAUAUGAUGAUUUAAAUAAAGAUUGCAUCAAUGCCCACAAUCAAGGAACCAAACUAAAAUUGUUGACAGGAAUGGAAAAAGACUGUCUGAACUAUCCCCACACCUCUAUUCCUGCCCCAAUGACCUCACUUACUGUAAUGUUUCAAACAGUUUAACUGCCACAGACUUUCACACACACCCCCCAAAAAAAAUAAUCACAGAGUGAGAGGAAGCAAAAGUUACAAAUAAUGGACUAUACUGGAUGUCUUCACUUAGCCAUCCCAGAGGCCCAGGACUAUGAAGCUUCUUUUACUGAUAAAUUCCUCCUUUAAUACAUGGUGCUUAGUUUGUUUAAACAUAAAGCACUACAUUUUCAGUAUGACUUCUUAAACUCAUGCUAGGCUGUCUCAGAUUUCCCUGCCAGUGCUUUCCCCAGCUAGGGACUCUCAAAGUAGCAGAACUCUCAUUUCUCCCUUUCAGAACUGGCUAGACUAACCAGAGAGCCACUCCUCAGUGUCAGGCCUAUGGCCAGGAUACGUCACAGAAAGAACUCAGUCACUGCAAACAUGCUCUGGGUGCAUAUCUUUCCACAGAAUGAAAGUCUGGCCCAUAAAAGAUAGUGGGGAGAAUUCAUGUAGUGAAGCUCUAAAUUCAAUCAUCUCAGUCUCCACUACAACUAUGCUUCCGGCAAUGUGAACUCACCUUGUCACUUAAUCACAAGAGGGAAAACAACCUAGACACCCCCAGGUCAGUAGCUGGACCCCAAGUAAUUAGCCAAAUAGUCUGGAAAGCAUUAGGAGAAUAAGGUUUUAUUCUCAUUGUAUUCCUAUUAAAAACAAAUACACACAGAAGGUGG
rnacentral:lncRNA from 1 species